rnacentral:lncRNA from 1 species
AUGAUUAUCAUUAUUAGCAUGGUUACCAGGUUUUAUGAGCCCUGGCUAAUGGUAGAUUCUGCUGGCUUCCUUCCAGGGGUCCCAGGGGUGGUGCCCGGUGGUGUGCCUGGUGGCAUUCCCGGAGGCGUUCCUGGAGGCGUCUAUUAUCCAGGGGCUGGUCUUGGAGGCCUGGGAGGAGGAGGACUGGGACCUGGAGGGAAGCCACCCAAGCCAGGCGCCGGGCUGCUGGGGACAUUUGGGAUCGGUCCUGGUGGCCUCCCUGGUGGUGCCACCGCCGGGGCAGGGAUCGGGGCCUUUCCUGCAGGCACCUACCCGGGGGCUCUGGUGCCUGGCGGAGCGGCUGGUGCUGCUGCUGCUGCUGCUGCUGCUGCUUAUAAAGCUGCCAAGGCUGGGGCCGGGCUUGGUGGCAUCGGAGGGCUUGCUGGUGUUGGCGGAGUUGGCGGAGUCGGAGGACUUGGUGGCGUUGGUGGCUUAGGAGUGUCUACAGGUGCCGUGGUCCCUCAGGCCGGAGCAGGUGUUGGAGUAGGAGCUGGAGGGAAGCCAGGGAAAGUUCCAGGUGUGGGGCUCCCAGGUGUGUACCCAGGUGGAGUGCUCCCAGGCACAGGAGCUCGCUUCCCUGGAGUAGGGGUGCUCCCUGGAGUCCCCACUGGAACUGGAGUCAAGGCCAAGACCCCAGGUGUAGGCGGAGCUUUUGCCGGAAUCCCAGGGGUCGGGCCCUUUGGGGGCCAGCAGCCUGGGGUCCCCCUGGGGUACCCCAUCAAAGCGCCCAAGCUCCCAGGUGGCUAUGGACUGCCCUACACCAACGGGAAGCUUCCCUAUGGAGUGCCUGGUGCAGGGGGCAAAGCUGGUUACCCCACAGGGACAGGGGUUGGCUCCCAGGCAGCAGCUGCGGCAGCUAAAGCAGCCAAGUAUGGUGCUGGAGGAGCCGGAGUCAUCCCUGGCAUCGGAGGGGGUGGCAUUCCUGGCGGAGCUGGCACCAUUCCUGGGAUUGGGGGCAUCGCAGGGGUGGGGACUCCUGCGGCAGCUGCUGCUGCGAAGGCUGCUGCAAAGGCUGCAAAGUACGGAGCUGCUGGAGGCCUAGUGCCUGGUGGGCCAGGAGUUAGGGUCCCAGGUGUUGUGGUCCCAGGUGUCGGGAUCCCAGGCAUUGCAGAUGGAGCAGGGCCUCUGGGGCCAGCUGCAGCUGCUAAAGCAGCGGCCAAAGCAGCUAAAUAUGGGGCCCGGGCUGGAGUAGGAGUCGGGGGCAUCCCCACCUAUGGGGUCGGGGCCAGGGGCUUUCCUGGCUAUGGCAUCGUACCCGGAGUCGGGGUCGGACCUGGAGUUGGGGUCAUACCCGGAGUAGGAGUUGGAGUUGGAGGUGUCCCUGGAGCUGGCCUUUCCCCAGCCCAGGCCGCCGCUGCUGCCAAAGCUGCCAAGUAUGGUGCAGCAGGAGCUGGAGCCCUGGGAGGUCUGGUGCCAGGUGCAGUACCAGGUGCAGUACCAGGUGCAGUACCAGGGGCAGUACCAGGAGCAGUACCAGGGGUAGUACCAGGAGCAGUACCAGGAGCAGUACCAGGGGCCAUACCAGGUGCAGUACCAGGUGUGCUAGGCACCAAAGGAGUGCCAGGAGCAGGGACCCCAGCAGCUGCAGCCGCUGCUGCAGCCGCCAAAGCAGCUGCCAAAGCUGGCCAGUAUGGGUUAGGCCCUGGGGUCGGCGGGGUUCCAGGUGGCAUAGGCGUCGGUCCUGGUGGUAUCGGUGUUGGUCCUGGUGGCCUUGUGCCUGGUGGUGUUGCCCCUGGUGUCGGCACCGGGCUUGGACCUGGUGGUAUUAUAGGAGCAGGGACCCCAGCUGCAGCCAAGUCCGCUGCUAAAGCAGCUGCCAAAGCCCAGUACCGGGCCACUGCCGGGCUGGGUGUUGGAGUUCCUGGGUUUGGAGCUGGUGCCGGGGUUCCCGGAUUCGGAGCUGUGGCCGCACCAGGCUCCCUGGCCGCCGCUAAAGCAGCCAAAUACAGAGCAGCAGGGGCUGGGGCUCUUGGAGGACUUGGAGCUUUUGGAGGACUGGGGCCUCUGGGCGGACCCGGGGCCCUGGCAGGAGCAGGUAUCCCUGGUGGUGUGGCAGGCAUCGGGCCUGCUGCCUCGGCUGCUGCCGCCAAAGCUGCCCAGUACGGCCUAGGGGGUGCCGGUGGGCUCGGAGCCGGAGGGCUGGGCGCUGGAGGACUGGGAGUUGGAGGACUGGGAGUCGGGGGACUCGGAGCCGGAGGACUGGGCGCUGGUGGACUUGGGGGUGUGUCCCCAGCUGCAGCUGCUAAAGCAGCCAAAUACGGUGUGGCACCCAGACCUGGCUUUGGAUUGUCCCCCAUUUACCCAGGUGGUGGUGCUGGGGGCCUGGGAGUCGGCGGGAAGCCCCCCAAGCCCUACGGAGGGGCCCUGGGCGCCCUUGGAGCCCUCGGAUACCAAGGUGGCCCCUGCUUGGGGAAAUCCUGUGGCCGGAAGAGGAAGUGAGCUUCCGGGGGGACCCCUGACUCUCGACCUCAUCAACGUUGGUGCUACUGCUUGGCGGAGAAUGUAGACCCUCAGAAACCCCACCCACCCAUCCCCACCCGGGAGGCGGCCUCGGACAGGACAAGAAAACAAGAGCAGGGUGGCCAUGGGCCCCAACCGCGAGGCCCCACUUCAGAGGCCCUGAGUGGGUGGGCUCAGCUCCUCCGCAGCCCCUUCCCACCUGGGAGUUCCCCCCACAGUCUCCAUCUCUGGGAAAAUUGGUGCUACACCCUGGUGCUCUCGUCUUCCUGGGGAGGAGGAGGGAAGGGGAGCCCUGGGGACACCCUCCCUCUCCGGGGCUCCUCUGAAGAAUGGUGCCUACAUUUCCUGGGCAGUGCCACCUCCCCCUGCCCAUCAGGAGCCACCCCUGGCUGCGGUCCAGUUGGUACCCAAGCACCGGAAACCUAAAGCUGGAUUCAGUCACUCUGUCCCCUCCCCUCUGCCCGUGGCUGUUCCCCACAUCCGGGGCACCUUCGUGUCAGAAGACCCCAUACAUACAACACUGGGAAUGGCCCCCUUGCUCUCAUGGAGCCACCUGCCCGUCUGUCCAUCCUCCCAUCCUCCCAGCCUCGUCGCCAGUCCACUGCCCAGUGCCUCUAACUGGCUGAGCACACCUGUCGUGGCAGCCUGCAACCAGCCCCCAACCCCCCCACACCCCAACGCUAGCCCAGGGUGUGAGGGGCCAUGCGGGCUGGGGGAACAGGACUCCGCUCCCCAGCCCGGAUCUCUCCACACGCAGUACUGUACCCCCGACCCUCCCUUGAGCCACCGUAACUACAGAGCAUGUCUCACCCCCCCAUUUCUUUGUGUCUCGCUGUGAUAGAUCAAUAAAUAUUUUAUUUUUUGUCCUGGAUAUUUGGGGAUUAUGUUUGAUUGUUGAUGUUCUCUUUGGGUUUUAUUUUUGUGCUGAUCUGGGGAGCUGUAACUCAGUAGAAAUUUCAUUUUAAUCACUCUGGUAUAACUCUGGAUGGAACACAUUUUUUUAAAAAAUAAGAAAGAGAAUUAACUGCUUCAGAAAAGACUAAUAAAUGAAAACCUUUUAAAGGAAACGGUCUUGGGCUCCUUUGUGUUUUUCCAUCUGGCCUAGUGGAGAGCAGGGCUUCACUGGGGGGACCUUGACCAUGCAUCAUGUGCUGGGGAGGCUGCUGACCCCAGGCACCCACUGUGGGCAUCCAGGUUUUCGGUCCUUCCCCAAGCUCCACUUGUCUUUUAACAAUGACCUCCAUAACCCGGGUGUAGUGCCGUGGGCCUGGAAUCCCACCACUCGGGAGGCUGAGGCAGGAGGAUUGUGGUAAAUUUGAAACCAGC